UCUUAGUGACACGCGCGCGCCCGUUCGGCCAGAUGUGGGUCCGGGGCGUUGCCGGCGGCGCGAGGAGUUGGGCUCCGAGGCCGGGGCUCCUGCCCUGGCAGGGCCCCUGGAGCUGCUUCUGGAAGACCGGAGGGGCAUCUGGAAGGGACUCCGAGCGUCGCCUCUCGGAUGUGCGGGUUUUCCCAGCGCCAGGUGCAGGGCUUGGAAGGGCGCAGUGAGCUCCAGGAAAACGAAUGAGGCUUAGAAGAGGAAAAGGUUGACAGAAUGCAGAUUCACAGGCCCCAUACCCAGCGACGCCGGCUGAGCAGAGUCUGAGAGACUGUGCUUGUCUACGGCCACACCACGCUGAACACACCCGACCUUCUGAUCUCAGGAGCUAAGCAGGGUCGGUCCUGGUUAUUGCUUGGACGGGAGAGGCUGUCUCAGGUGGUCAGAUGUUCUAGUGGGGAGGAGGCUGCUUAAUGAAGGCCUGCAGGCCUUCCUGGGGACAUCCUGACACCCCGUGGGGACCAGGCCAGUGCCACCAAGCAGGAAGGUCAGGAAGGACGAUGGCUCUGGGAGGCAAACCCUGGAUGCAGCAUUGAUGGUGAGAUCUUCAUAACCCCUCCCCCCUUAUCUUUGGGGCUCAGCCCCAUCUGGUCAACUGGACUAAAAUACACCACCUGCCGCGUGAGACCUCGCUCUCUAAACAUUUCAAAGGGGCUCAUACCCAUUUGGCUUUUGGAACCAGGGGACUGCAGGGAACUCCCUGAAUUCACACUGGCUCUGUUUCUAAGUAGCCACACGUCUGUUGGAUUUCUUGCCAAGUGAGGAAAACCUGCAACUGUCUUCAGAUGCAAUGAAACCUCCUUAAGCAUCGAGUGAAUGAUUGCAAUGGAUGCACACUGAUUCUGUAGGCAUUCCAGCGAACAUUUCCUCGUUUGGAAGCUUCCCUCUGGAGCCAGUCAUGGUCUCCCCAGUCUAAGAAGACCCUCAUAAAGUCCAUAGGCCCGCAGUGCCCUGGGUGAAAUCUCAGCCUGAGGCCAAGCCCCCCCAGCACAGGCAGAGGCACCUGCAGGAAGCAGAGAGGAAAAUGCCAGCGCCAAAGAGGCCAGCAGCCCAGGAAGUUGGAGCGACUUCCAAGUCCAGCGCCAUCCCAGGGCCCCUUGCUCAGGUCCUGGGCACGGGUGACAUUGGUGCAGCAUGCACUCACAUGUGCCAGGCCUCGGGGAAGUACUGUGUCUGCAGCAGUCCAUUUAAGCCUGGAAACAACCUCAUGAGGCAGGUACCAUUACUGUUAUUUCUAAUACCAUUCCCAUAUUACCAUGAAAAUUCUUUUUUUCUUAAAGAUUUAUUCACUCAUGUGAAAGAGCUACAGAGAGAGAGGGAGAGACAAAGAGAAAGAGAUCUUCCAUCUGCUGGUUCACUCCCCAGAUGGCUCCAAUGGCCAGGGCUUGGCCAGGCAAGAGCCAGGAGCUUCUUCUGGGUCUCCCAUAUGGGUUCAGGGGUCCAAGCACUUGGGCCAUCUUCUGCUGCUUUCCCAGGCCAUAGCAGAGAGCUGGCUCAGAAGUGGGGCAACCAGGAGUCAAAUCGGUGCCCAUUCAGGAUGCUGGCACUGCAGGCAGCAGCUUUACCCGCUGUACCACGAUACUGGCCUCACCAUGAAAAUUCUGUCUUAGGGAUGCUAAGUCACUUCCUAGGAGCUGAGGAGCGAGGGGUGCAAUGCCUCCAUGCCCCCCGAGACCCCUGCUGCGGGCGGGGAAGGGCUCCUCUCCACCAGCCCCUGCCUGUUCCCUGGAAGCCAGCCCAGGAGUUCCGCCGCCAACCAACACAGAGUAGACUUAAAACAGCCAGAAUCGAAAUUAACAGGCGAGGCUCAAGUGGAUGCACGACCCCAGCGUCCUCCUCCCCUCGUGGAGGGCUUAAAUGGCCUUGACUUGGCAGAAAAGCCUUUCUAAGAACGUUACAAAGACCAGAGAAUCACACAGGGGAAGUGUGAUAAAUACGACUCCAUAAAAAUGUGAAACUGCAGAGAAGAGACGCCUGUGUGGACCAGCGUUGCUGCAGACCUAGUUUUGUAAAACUUUGUCAAACCAGUGGUUAAGACUGUUAUGCUACUAGAGUUUUAGUGAUCUGUGAUUGCUUUAAAAUUUACUGGGUGAAAAUAAAAAAGAAAGUUAUCUCCUCAAAAAAA